rnacentral:rRNA from 1 species
UACAGAGGUCCCGAGCGUUGUUCGGAUUCAUUGGGCGUAAAGGGCGCGUAGGUGGCGCGGGCAGUCAACGGUGAAAGUUCGGGGCUCAACCCUGAAUCGGCCGUCGAUACUCCCGUGCUUGAGCACUGUAGAGGCAGAUGGAAUUCCGGGUGUAGCGGUGGAAUGCGUAGAGAUCCGGAAGAACACCGGUGGCGAAGGCGGUCUGCUGGGCAGUAGCUGACACUGAGGCGCGACAGCGUGGGGAGCAAACAGG